AACGCUGGCGGCGUGCCUCAGACAUGCAAGUCGAACGCGAAAGGUUCCUUCGGGAACCCGGUAGAGUGGCGCACGGGUGAGUAACACGUGGGUAAUUUGCCUUCGGGUGGGGAAGUAACAGUCGGAACGGCUGCUAAUACCGCAUAAUGCAGCGGCAUCAUAAGAUGACAGUUGUUAAAGCGGGGGAGUCGUAAGACCUCGCGCCUGAAGAGAAGCCCGCGGCGGAUUAGGUAGUUGGUGAGGUAAUGGCUCACCAAGCCCGCGAUCCGUAACCGGCCUGAGAGGGCGGUCGGUCACACUGACACUGACAUACGGGUCAGACUCCUACGGGAGGCAGCAGUCGGGAAUUUUGGGCAAUGGGCGCAAGCCUGACCCAGCAACGCCGCCGUGAAGGAUGAAGCAUUUCGGUGUGUAAACUUCACAAGAAUGGGAAGAAUAAGUUAAGG
rnacentral:rRNA from 1 species